GUUCUCACUUCGGCAGCAUAUAUACUAAAAUUGGAAUGAUACAGAGAUUAGCAUGACCCCUGUGCAAGACUGACAUGUAAAAUUGUGACAAAUUCCAUAUUUUU
ensembl:snRNA U6 U6 spliceosomal RNA